rnacentral:rRNA from 1 species
GACGAACGCUGGCGGCGUGCUUAACACAUGCAAGUCGAACGGAAAGGCCCUGCUUUUGUGGGGUGCUCGAGUGGCGAACGGGUGAGUAACACGUGAGUAACCUGCCCUUGUCUUUGGGAUAACUUCAGGAAACUGGGGCUAAUACCGGAUAGGAUCUCCUGCUGCAUGGUGGGGGUUGGAAAGUUUCGGCGGUUGGGGAUGGACUCGCGGCUUAUCAGCUUGUUGGUGGGGUAGUGGCUUACCAAGGCUUUGACGGGUAGCCGGCCUGAGAGGGUGACCGGCCACAUUGGGACUGAGAUACGGCCCAGACUCGUACGGGAGGCAGCAGUGGGGAAUAUUGCACAGUGGGCGGAAGCCUGAUGCAGCAACGCCGCGUGCGGGAUGACGGCCUUCGGGUUGUAAACCGCUUUCGCCUGUGACGAAGCGUGAGUGACGGUAAUGGGUAAAGAAGCACCGGCUAACUACGUG